UUUUAAUUGGGUCAAUUAUUUUGCUUUUUUCAUUAGGGAGGUAAAGAAACUAACAAGGAUUCCCCUAGUAGCGGCGAGCGUAGCGGGAAGAGCUCAAAUUUAUAAUCUGGCACCUUCGGUGUCCGAGUUGUAAUCUCUAGAAGUGUUUUUCGCGUUGGACCGCACACAAGUCUGUUGGAAUACAGCGGCAUAGUGGUGAGACCCCCGUAUAUGGUGCGGACGCCCAACGCUUUGUGAUACACUUUCGAAGAGUCGAGUUGUUUGGGAAUGCAGCUCAAAUUGGGUGGUAAAUUCCAUCUAAAGCUAAAUAUUGGCGAGAGACCGAUAGCGAACAAGUACCGUGAGGGAAAGAUGAAAAGCACUUUGGAAAGAGAGUUAACAGUACGUGAAAUUGUUGGAAGGGAAACGCUUGAAGUCAGACUUGCUUGCCGAGCAAUCGGUUUGCAGGCCAGCAUCAGUUUUCCGGGGUGGAUAAUGGUAGAGAGAAGGUAGCAGUUUCGGCUGUGUUAUAGCUCUUUGCUGGAUACACCUUGGGGGACUGAGGAACGCAGUGUGCCUUACGGCGGAUUCUCGAGAUCUCACACUGGGAUGCUGGCAUAUGGUUUGCCGU
rnacentral:rRNA from 1 species